rfam:Myotis lucifugus cont2.28019, whole genome shotgun sequence.
GGCCUCCCUCUUUGGGGUGAUUGAUCAUGGAGCUCCGCCAUCAAUCGCCCCAAAGAGGUAGGCC